rnacentral:rRNA from 1 species
UGGGGAAUCUUCGGCAAUGGACGAAAGUCUGACCGAGCAACGCCGCGUGAGUGAAGAAGGUUUUCGGAUCGUAAAACUCUGUUGUUAGAGAAGAACAAGGACGUUAGUAACUGAACGUCCCCUGACGGUAUCUAACCAGAAAGCCACGGCUAACUCCGUGCCAGCAGCCGCGGUAAUACGGAGGGUGCAAGCGUUAAUCGGAAUUACUGGGCGUAAAGCGCACGCAGGCGGUCUGUCAAGUCGGAUGUGAAAUCCCCGGGCUCAACCUGGGAACUGCAUUCGAAACUGGCAGGCUAGAGUCUUGUAGAGGGGGGUAGAAUUCCAGGUGUAGCGGUGAAAUGCGUAGAGAUCUGGAGGAAUACCGGUGGCGAAGGCGGCCCCCUGGACAAAGACUGACGCUCAGGUGCGAAAGCGUGGGGAGCAAACAGG